AGGGUUGGGUCAGGUUUUGGAUUGAUUCUCAUGGAGAAAUGAAUGCCAAAGGGCCCUAAGUCUGUGUAAAAGGUGCUUCCCCUUUUUGUGCCAUCCCAGCUCUGUUUGGCAUCAUGGUACAACUCCCCUGUUUGGCUGUUGGGACUGCAAGGAAAACUGGUUUUGGAAGAGUCUCCAGAGAGGGUUACUCUGUUUUGGAGAGAUGCAGCAUAGUCUGUGGUCACUAUAAGGGAGUGAAGUAAUAAGUUGUCUUGGAGACACUGGUGAUUGCGCAGGUCAAGGUAAGGGUCUCUCCAGGCUGCACCAUCCCUGGUCUGGGCUCUGUUGAGCUGGAGCUGGUAGCAGAGAUCUGGAAAAUCAGUGAUUAGUCUGCAUCCACCCUGACAUAUGUCCCAGUUACUGCUGCCUUCCCCAGUCCCUGAACCCUUGUGGGGAGGGGUGGUUCUGCCUGUGCCUAAUUAACAGCCUGGGCCCUCAUAAUCAGGAGAAGGAGAAGUGCUGCUGAUUUCAGGGAAAUGCUGGACAAGGAGGGUAGCAGAGGGAAUCCUUGCAGGUGAUGACAGUUAAAUCUUGCUGUCGGUUCUGGUGCCCUGCUAACAGUGCUGUCUCUCCAGCCCAGUCCCCAAGCCAGUGCUGCUUGUGGUACCUGGGAGAAAAGAGGUCUGCAGCUCAAGGGUUUUCCUUCAGCAACAGUAGGACUUGCUUCACAGUGUUUCUGGCACAAUACGAGACUGUCCUCAGGGCUCAUAUGCCUCAUCUGUCAGUGUAGCAGGUUCAGGGAAUUGCCCUUGGAGAUGGUGACCCCCCCCCUGCACAGACCUGCUGCAGUGUAUGGUAGGUGCAAGGUUGCUCAUAGCAUCUACCCACUCCAGCCCCUCCACAGGAACCUGGGGGACCCAGUGCAUGUGGGAGCUGCCGGAUGCAAGCCCAGAGGCUUUGCAGGAGAGGUGCAGAGAGUCUCCAGGCUUCCUCAUGGCCUUGCCCAACUCUAGCAGCUGCACCUGGAACCAGGUGUCUGGGAAGAGAGACUGGUUAAUAAUCAUUUGAAUCUCACCUGCAAAGACCCCAAGGCUCUAGAGCCUCCCUGGGAUUGGGUUUUGUAGUGUUGCUGUCCCCAGUGCCUGAAGCCCUUCCCACAGCUGCACAGGAUGCCUGUCCCUCUGCCUCAUGCCUCCACCCUCUCCAUUGAGUAGCCUCCUGUGCAUCUUUUCCUCCCUGGAUACCAUCCUACCCCUCUCCCACCUUUCCCUCCCCUGCCCCCUCUCUCCUCUUGUCAAGCAGAAGCAGUGAUUGCAAACUUCCAGGAUGUGUCCUGCAUCCUUCUCAGAAAUGGGGCUCUGCAGCCUGGCCCCUGCCCCUCAGCUCUGAGACUGCUGGAGCCCUGGCUCCCAGGGUGGCAGGAGGUAACAUAGGUGCUGCAGCUUCUCCCACCCUUCCUGCACUCUCAGGGGACUAAGGCUGGAUCCUAGCCAAGGGCUUUCCCAGGGAUUUUGGCCCUGGGCUCCACACCCUGACUAAGCAGCUGGAGCCUGUAACUUGAGGAGGACAGUGUUUGCUGGGGAAUCUCCUCAACCCUAUUCUGCCUGGAACCAGAUCUGCUCGGAGCUCUUGCCUCAGCCCUUAGUCACGUGAAGCUACAUCAGGUCUGUUUAUCCGGAUCUGCAAUGAUGGGCAGGUUCCUAACAUAAUGUAUUUGUGGUGAGCUCUUGCAAUUCUCACCUCCAUGCUAGUGUCCCAUUGCUUGGGUGUACUUCUGUGUGCUAGCAGGCUUGGAGUAUAGCUUUGGGCGGGAUGGUCCAAGAAAUGUAUAUGAAGCCAGGUCUUUGGCAAUUGCCUAUACUGGACCAGCUGUGUAUUUCAGAGGCUUGGCAGACAAGCUCACAGGCCUUACUCGUGUUUGGGGAGGAAGGAAGUGAUGCCAGAGCUAAGUAGCAAGAAGAAGAAUCGGUUGUGUUGAGUCGUGUCUGCUGCAGCUGUUUGUAGACUGGAUUGAAGCAGAAGUCGGGAAGGGAUUGCGGUUGCUGGUCAAGGGUGAGAACAAGGGGACCACAGGCUGAGGCUCCCGGGACUGUGUGGCCAUGAUACAGCUGCCUGGUGCUCUUGUCAGCAUGUGCUGGUGGUGCUGUGUCCUGCUGGUUCCUGGACUGUUGCCUGCUCCUCACUGGGCGCAGAGUGAGGGCUGGGAUGGGGGCAGCAGCCUGCAGAUCUGGUGUAGCUGCCCCCAUCCCAGCCCUGCUGGUCUCCUCUCAAUCCCACACUGCAGGCCUGUCCCCCUGCCAGUGUACGGCAUGCCUGGUGCACAACCCCUCCCUCCUCUGCUUGUCCCAGUACAGUGGCCUGGCAGCUGUGGGGCCCAUGGGGUGACACUCAUGGAGACCCCAGGAAUGACCAGUGCUGCCUGGAUGGGAUCUACGAGGGCCAUGACAGUGCCCUGGCAUUCAGCACAAGGAGCCCCAGUGCCGCCCCCCCCCCCCCCCCCCCAGCAACUGAGUGUCUCCUCAUCGUCUGGGAGAAUUGGAAGGCACCGGGGGGGGGGGGGGGGGGGGGGGGGGGCUAUUGAGAGGCUACUGGAGGAGCUGGGCUGUUUACUGGGUCUGCCUGGGAGGGUGCUGGGAGGCCCUGGGGGAUACUGGGAAUUUUCUGGGGAGCUAAUAGAAGGUUACUGGGCUCUCUUAGUGGGGGACACUGAAGGCUGUGAGUGCGGCUGGGAGGGGAUUGGGAGGUAGCUUUUGGGUACUGGGAGAUGCAGGAGAACUGGGAGGUCCCUGCCCAGCUGCCAUAUGCCAGCUUGGGAGGCAGAUCAUCACUGACUGCAGAUUCGAGAUCUUGGACAAGACAGAAGGACCCGAGAGUAGUGGGCAGCUGCUGGACCCUGGUGGGGUCUUCGGUGGUGGCUGCA